rnacentral:siRNA from 1 species
CCAACCUUGGAGCCGAAGUCAGC